AAUGCCCAAACGGAAACCGUUUAAAAAAGAAAGGGUUGAAGGAAUAGGAACACCGACAAAACCAGAAACGGUUAAAUCUUGGCUACUAUUAUUGGUUGCUCCAUUCUUCUUUAAAAAGUAAUCUUGAUUUAAAUUCAAAUAAACUGCAGUUGCUACUCCAGUUAAGAAGGAACCAUCAUCACUGCGGAAGGCAACGGAUGAAAUGUUUAGUGGGGUUGAUCUAAAUUGUGGCGUUUUAUUAAUCACGUUAUAUUCCUUUUCAAUUUGGCCAUCGACAAAAAUGAAACCAACUUUAGCAAGGUCGUUUUUAUCAGCUAAAUAACGACGGUCAUCAGAGCUAAUUGCUUGUAGUGCUUCUUGUUGGUUAAAUCCAGUAGCUACAAUCACAUCACUACCAUCGUUCUUAAUGUUUUUAAAGGUAGCAAUCCGAUCACUUAAAGUACGUCCGGGACGUUUUCAAAGGCCGUUGCCGUCUUGUAACAGGGAACUAUUUGGUGAUGGUAAUUCAAUAUGUUUUUGAGAUCUAAAGUACCUUCUAAUCCCUUCAUAGGACAUCUCAGAAAAGGAUUUGUCAGCUAAUGUAGCUUCAUCAUUGGAAACUAACAGUUGAAUCGAAGAUUCCCAAAUUCUAGUAGCACCACAAGACACUAAAAAGACGGCCA
rnacentral:sRNA from 1 species